rnacentral:misc_RNA from 1 species
GAAAAGUGGUGGUGAUUUUCCAUUUCUAUCUAGGCCUGAUGAAGUGAAUCUUCAUCUUCAGCUACACCUGAGACGUGUUGGUGUUGAAGCUCGACCUGACUUGAUCCCUGGUGUUCCAAAGGAUGAUAGUGGUGGAAGUUCCAAAGAGCCAAACAACGGAAGAAAGGAUGCUGAUGAUUCAUCAGAAAAUGAUAAAAGAGACUCAGAAACUCCUCCUACAGAAAGUGCAGAGCCCCCCUUGGCUCCAGAAGCUACCGGUUCUCACGAUUUAGAUAACCAACUCCUUA